GGAUGUGGCUCAGUUUGGUAGAGCAUCUGGUUUGGGACCAGAGGGUCGCAGGUUCAAAUCCUGUCAUCC
rnacentral:tRNA from 1 species